UGGGGAAUCUUGGACAAUGGGGGCAACCCUGAUCCAGCCAUGCCGCGUGAGUGAUGAAGGCCUUAGGGUCGUAAAGCUCUUUCGCCUGUGAAGAUAAUGACGGUAGCAGGUAAAGAAACCCCGGCUAACUCCGUGCCAGCAGCCGCGGUAAUACGGAGGGGGUUAGCGUUGUUCGGAAUUACUGGGCGUAAAGCGCACGUAGGCGGACCAGAAAGUUGGGGGUGAAAUCCCGGGGGCUCAACCCCGGAACUGCCUCCAAAACUAUUGGUCUAGAGUUCGAGAGAGGUGAGUGGAAUUCCAAGUGUAGAGGUGAAAUUCGUAGAUAUUUGGAGGAACACCAGUGGCGAAGGCGGCUCACUGGCUCGAUACUGACGCUGAGGUGCGAAAAGUGUGGGGAGCAAACAGGAUUAGAUACCCUGGUAGUCCACACCGUAAAACGAUGAAUGCCAGUCGUCGGGUAGCAUGCUAUUCGGUGACACACC
rnacentral:rRNA from 1 species